CCCUGUGAAAAAGGAAUACACAAUAUAAAAUUUUUCAGGAUUAACUUGUAAUGUAUGGUGAUGUUCAGCCCUGGCAAAUGACGUCACAGCGCUCAAAAUUUUGACGUAAUAGUGUGACUUCCACCAUUUUGGGUGGCAAAUGUUUAAAUCUAUAUUAAUGUACUGAGCACCUCGUGCAACCCAACAUACAGUACAUAGUAAUUUGGUAUUCCUGUAUAAUUUAAUUCAGCUCAGAAAGUGAGUUAUUAAAAAUUAGAAGACUGUUCUUAUCUUAGUUAACAAAACGAUUUACAGUAUAUGCAGGUUGAUUGAGGCAGAUCAUACAAUUUAUGGACAUUCCUAUACAUUUAACCAAUUUUAAAUUAUUCCCAGUAUCGACACCUAAAUUAUUCCCAGUAAUAACGUAGGGGGGGGAGGGGUGUGAUGGUUGUUCAAAGCUGGGUGAGCGUUAACCCUCGCCUAAUAUUUAACCUGUUCUCUCUGUUAAUGUAGAAAUAUUUCCCAAAUUAAGCUAAUUGGCUUUCGAACAACCGGCCCCUGAACUCUACUUCUAAGUAGUAAAUAAAAUAAUAAACACAACUUCCAACAGUCUCAGUAAUAACGUUUAGAUCUCUACUUCUAAGUAGAAAUUAAACUUCUAACAGUACUCUCAGUAAUAAUUUCCCAAAUUAAGCUAAUUGGCUUUCGAACAACCGGCCCCUGAACUCUACUUCUAAGUAGUAAAUAAAAUAAUAAACACAACUUCCAACAGUCUCACCUAAUAACGUUUAGAUCUCUACUUCUAAGUAGAAAUUAAACUUCUAACAGU